GAUGAAGAACGCAGCGAAAUGCGAUACGUAAUGUGAAUUGCAGAAUUCAGUGAAUCAUCGAAUCUUUGAACGCACAUUGCGCCUGCCAGCACUCUGGCAGGCAUGCCUGUUCGAGCGUCAUUUCAACCAUCAAGCCCCAGGCUUGUGUUGGAGCCCUGCGGCUGCCGCAGCCUCCCAAAACCAGUGGCGGGCUCGCUAUCACACCGAGUGCAGUAGUUUACUCUUCGCUCAGGGCGUGUGGCGGGUGCUAGCCGUGAAACCCCCAACUUCUCAAGGUUGACCUCGGAUCAGGUAGGAAUACCCGCUGAACUUAAGCAUAUCAAUAAGCGGAGGA
rnacentral:misc_RNA from 1 species